UAAGGAAUAUUGCUCAAUGGGAGAAAUCCUGAAGCAGCAACGCCGCGUGGAGGAUGAAGGGUCUAUGACUUGUAAACUCCUGUAAAGAAGGAAAAAAUUCCCAUUUGAUGGGAGAUGAUGGUACUUCUGGAGUAAGCCCCGGCUAACUACGUGCCAGCAGCCGCGGUAAUACGUAGGGGGCAAGCGUUGUCCGGAUUUACUGGGUGUAAAGGGUGCUCAGGCGGAUUUGUAAGUCAGAGGUGAAAUCUUACAGCUUAACUGUGAAACUGCCUUUGAUACGGCAAGCCUAGAGUAUGGAAGAGAGUGAUGGAAUAUCUGGUGUAGCAGUGAAAUGCGUAGAUAUCAGAUAGAACACCAAUGGCGAAGGCAGUCACUUGGUCCAUUACUGACGCUAAAGCACGAAAGCGUGGGUAGCGAACA
rnacentral:rRNA from 1 species